GUAAAAAAACGGCGGAGGCGGUUUCUAUAGUUGGGAAGUGUUUUAGACGAUAUUUGUUUUCCACUAAAAGACAGCUAACAGAUGUACUUUGAUGAGCAGAGCGCCAGCCUGACCAAUUGGAUGUUGAUGUCCUUUGGCUGAUUCAUCUAAAUCAGUGGAAAAGGAGGGGACAUUUGUUUUCAGCGGAGAGGGCUAUUUAUCAGCAGUGAUUGAUAUCCAGCAACACCGGACCGCCUCAGGCUGCAGCCAUCCAUCCGCUGCCAAUCACCGAGGUUUGCCAGAGAAAUUCACAGCACCUUCAGCGGUGCAGCCGGUCUGCUGUACAGGCACACACUGGGGACGCCGCGUUCAUACAUUUCAUUCACGGAGAUGGAAAACUGUGGCAUAUAUAAACACACAGCACUGAAUUAUUAGCGCUGCUUACAUUUAUGGUGAAUUCGAUUGAAAGAAGCACAACAAACAGGACCUCUCUGUGUCUUUGGAGGACUGAGUGAGGCCAGUCCAGUGUUUUUCAAACUGGUUGGCACGAGUCAAGACCGCUAACUUCAAGAAAGAGUACAAUCACUUUGUAUCACAAUGACUGUUUGCAUGCUGGCCAUGCUGCCUGCUCGCCACCGUUAGCUAAAGAGGAAAAAGAAGAAAGGAGCCUUUUGAAAUCCUGCCUGUGUGUACUCGGCUCUCCUGUGGUUAUCUGGCCUGGUCCUCUCCGUUUUUCUCCUGUUUGUAUGUCUGCUCACUGCUGUGCACAUGUGAGCAGCAUUUUGCUGUUAAACUAGCACUUUCUUUAAGGUGACUGGUAUCUGCAUUUUUUACUUUGGCUUAAUUGCUUAGCUGGAAUACAAAUAUUUAAGUAUGGAGCUGCGUAUACAUGUCCAUGUAACUGUUAUCGCUCUCCUGUCAUGCACACUUGAGGUCCUGCUUUGUUGGUCUUAUUACGUUAAAAACUGUCUCAGUGGUGCGUCGUCCUCACUGACAGGUCCGGAGUGCCAACAGAGCAGUCUAAGGAACGCUGCUUUAAACUUGUUAGAGCAGCAAUGCAGACAGUGUUAUGGAUGCAGGCUUAACUUGGACCGGAUGGAAGUGUGUGCUUGUUACAUUGAUUAGAGCUUAGGAACAGAAGGGAUUACAUCUCAAGAGGAGUCCUGAAUUGAUUUUGGCCUUCGCUGUGCAUGUUGUUAAUGACUGAGAACUUUCAGUUUGUCAGUAAAAACAACAGGGCGGUUAAAAUUAAAGACAAAUAAUGCUAACGCUGAGAGCGCUAACAUGAAUGUUUCAGCCUUCUGAAAGUGACUUCUGCACACGAUUCAGGAGCUCGUAGAACCACAUUUAGCAGCCAUAACUCUUUCUUUUUCACUCUCUCGCGUUGCUGUGGAGGAGUUUGGGUCCACUCUUCAGUUCACUGAAGGUCUCAGCACAGCGUCUCAGCUAGGAUGAGGCCUGGACUUUGGACCAUUGCAGGUGAUGCUUUUCUUUUCCAGCCGUUCUGUGUUUGGGUUCAUUGUCCUGUUGGUUGAAUGAGUUCAGACUUUGGCUGUCGGCCUCACAUUUGACUCUAAAAUUCUUUGGUGUGCAGACGAGUCCACGGCCGACUCAACGACUGCACGGUGCCCGGGUUCUGUGGCCCUCCACCCCCGGCCGAUCGUUUGUGCCCAUGCGCUGUGUUUGCUGUUCGUCAAACAUGGCUUUAUGCAUUAUUACCAAAAGUCUCCCCUUUGGUCUUGUCUGCUCAGAGGACAUUGUUCCAGAAGUUUUUACUUUGUUUCAGAUGCAACUUUGCAAAUCUCCAAUGUGCUGCCAUGUUCUUUUUACAGAGGAGACGAUGUUUUUCCUGACUAACUUCUGGUGUUCACACAUAUCGAUGUUGGUGCUAAGAUGUCCAAUAAAAACUUUCUUUUCAUAUGACUGCAUCUUGAGCUGCAGGUAAAUAGAUUCUCACAAGAUCCAUAUAAUGACAUGCUACCCUCAUGUGCUCACACUGAUGCUAAUAUGCACCAACUGCCUGCUUUCUUUCAAACCUCCUGAGGCUGUCUUGGUUUCCUCUUUGGCUCCUAAAGUUUACUCACAGUAGGCACGGUUGCCUUGUACCAUGCCUGAGCACGAUUAGCUGCUCACACUGUGCGUAACGAUCCAGGCCAAGCAUGCUUCAGUUUGUCUCAGCAUCUCACCCUCUCACAUUUGUUCUCUGUCGCUUCCUAAAGCAGUCUUGCAGAGCACACUGGGAUCUUGUUCAUUUUGUAGACUGAGGCCAUUUGUAGAAGCUAUGACACACGCUGUCCUCUCACAUGCCUUACAGAGUUUACUAAUUACAUAUAUUUCUGUUUUUGGUGUUUUGGAGUUCUGUGUUAGGGUGCAGAUAGCAACCAGUCCAACAGCACCCAGGCCCAGCUCCUCAAACCAGUCAAAUCAACUGGAUCUGAAACCUGCACGAGAUGAAAUGAAGACGAGGACAGAGCAGUGCUGCGGUGCGUCCCUGUAAACGGUGACCACACCAGCACAGAGAUGGCGCCCCUGCAGCCUGCACCUGUACCACAGUCGUCUCUUCAGGUUUAGGUGACCUGUGUGAGAAUUUGGCGUCUCUGCAGGUAACAGGAAGUGCUUGUAUAUAAAAUGGAUCCACUGAUGUCUAAACGAAUGGGCUCGGAUGCUUUGGUGUUUAGAAGAUGUCCUUGUGCCUGCAGAGCCGAGCAAAGAGGCCGGUGCAGGAUUCACAUCUCAGGGAUUCAGCUGUGAUCUGAAUAGUGAAAUACAAAUCGAUAAAGCACCUUAUACCCGUACAGACAGCGCUUCACAGGGUGAGCUUUUUGUUCCUGUCUCUGUUUUCUGCACGGGGUUUUUAUCAAUAAGACGAGUGACACCAGCCCGAGGCUUUGAUGAAGGGCGGCUCAGGAGGCCUUCUAAUUUUAGGACAGUUAAAGAGUUCACGCUGAUGCUACAGCACAGUUAUAUAAACAGGCCUGCUCUCUGUUAUCAUCUGUGUUUGAAUAUUGAUCAGAUUUUUUGUUUUGAUUGCUUAUUUUUGUGUUUUGAUGGUUUGCCAAGUUAACAUGAAUAAAGAGAAGUUUGCAUGAAUUUAAAUCUUUAUGGAUGUAUAUACGUGCAUUUAUGUUACAACUGGUUUCACAUUUGUUUUAAUUUGUG